rnacentral:rRNA from 1 species
GACGAACGCUGGCGGCGUGCUUAACACAUGCAAGUCGAACGGAAAGGCCCUGCUUUUGUGGGGUGCUCGAGUGGCGAAGGGGUGAGUAACACGUGAGUAACCUGCCCUUGACUUUGGGAUAACUUCAGGAAACUGGGGCUAAUACCGGAUAGGAGCUCCUGCUGCAUGGUGGGGGUUGGAAAGUUUCGGCGGUUGGGGAUGGACUCGCGGCUUAUCAGCUUGUUGGUGGGGUAGUGGCUUACCAAGGCUUUGACGGGUAGCCGGCCUGAGAGGGUGACCGGCCACAUUGGGACUGAGAGACGGCCCAGACUCCAACGGGAGGCAGCAGUGGGGAAUAUUGCACAAUGGGCGGAAGCCUGAUGCAGCAACGCCGCGUGCGGGAUGACGGCCUUCGGGUUGUAAACCGCUUUCGCCUGUGACGAAGCGUGAGUGACGGUAAUGGGUAAAGAAGCACCGGCUAACUACGUG